rnacentral:rRNA from 2 species
GGAGCCAGCCGCCGAAGGUGGGGUAGAUGAUUGGGGUGAAGUCGUAACAAGGUAGCCGUAUCGGAAGGUGCGGCUGGAUCACCUCCUUUCUAUGGAGA